rnacentral:rRNA from 1 species
UACGAAGGGGGCUAGCGUUGCUCGGAAUCACUGGGCGUAAAGGGUGCGUAGGCGGGUCUUUAAGUCAGGGGUGAAAUCCUGGAGCUCAACCCCAGAACUGCCUUUGAUACUGAAGAUCUUGAGUUCGGGAGAGGUGAGUGGAACUGCGAGUGUAGAGGUGAAAUUCGUAGAUAUUCGCAAGAACACCAGUGGCGAAGGCGGCUCACUGGCCCGAUACUGACGCUGUGGCACGAAAGCGUGGGGAGCAAACAGG